rnacentral:rRNA from 1 species
GACGAACGCUGGCGGCGUGCUUAACACAUGCAAGUCGAGCGAGAAACCCUCUUCGGAGGGGAGUACAGCGGCGAACGGGUGAGUAACACGUGGGCAACCUGCCCCAAGGAGCGGGACAACCCGGGGAAAUCCGGGCUAAUACCGCAUGUUCCGCAGCGCCCGAAGGUGCUUCGGGAAAUGGUAGCUUCGGCCUCCGCCUUGGGAUGGGCCCGCGGCGCAUUAGCUUGUUGGUGAGGUAAUGGCUCACCAAGGCGACGAUGCGUAGCUGGUCUGAGAGGACGAUCAGCCACACUGGGACUGAGACACGGCCCAGACUCCUACGGGAGGCAGCAGUGGGGAAUCUUGCGCAAUGGGCGGAAGCCUGACGCAGCAACGCCGCGUGAGGGAGGACGGCCU